GAUGAACGCUGGCGGCGUGCCUAAUACAUGCAAGUCGAGCGAACAGACGAGGAGCUUGCUCCUCUGACGUUAGCGGCGGACGGGUGAGUAACACGUGGAUAACCUACCUAUAAGACUGGGAUAACUUCGGGAAACCGGAGCUAAUACCGGAUAAUAUAUUGAACCGCAUGGUUCAAUAGUGAAAGACGGUUUUGCUGUCACUUAUAGAUGGAUCCGCGCCGCAUUAGCUAGUUGGUAAGGUAACGGCUUACCAAGGCAACGAUGCGUAGCCGACCUGAGAGGGUGAUCGGCCACCCUGGAACUGAGACACGGUCCAGACUCCUACGGGAGGCAGCCGUAGGGAAUCUUCCGCAAAGGGCGAAAGCUUGACGGAGCAACGCCGCGUGAGUGAUGAAGGUCUUCGGAUCGUAAAACUCUGUUAUUAGGGAAGAACAAAUGUGUAAGUAACUAUGCACGUCUUGACGGUACCUAAUCAGAAAGCCACGGCUAACUACGUG
rnacentral:rRNA from 1 species